ensembl:snRNA U4 U4 spliceosomal RNA
AUCCUUUUGCAGUGGCAGUAUCGUAGCCUAUGAAGUUUAUCCAAGGCGUGAUUAUUGCUAGCUGAAAACUUUAUCCAGUUUUUCCCUUGAUGACUUGAAGUCAGCAGUGGCAAUUUUUUUUUUGUUAAAAAUAAU